rnacentral:rRNA from 1 species
ACAGAGGUCUCAAGCGUUGUUCGGAUUCAUUGGGCUUAAAGCGUGUGUAGGCGGAUCGUUAAGUACCUUGUGAAAUCCCACGGCUUAACCGUGGAACUGCUUGGUAUACUGGCUGUCUUGAGCCACUUAGGGGCGACCGGAACAAACGGUGGAGCGGUGAAAUGCGUAGAUAUCGUUUGGAACGCCAAAGGUGAAAACAGGUCGCUGGGAGUGUGCUGACGCUGAGACACGAAAGCCAGGGGAGCAAACGGGA